rnacentral:rRNA from 1 species
UACGGAGGGAGCUAGCGUUGUUCGGAAUUACUGGGCGUAAAGCGCGCGUAGGCGGCUUUGUAAGUUAGAGGUGAAAGCCCGGGGCUCAACCCCCGGAACAGCCUUUAAGACUGCAUCGCUAGAAUCCGGGAGAGGUGAGUGGAAUUCCGAGUGUAGAGGUGAAAUUCGUAGAUAUUCGGAAGAACACCAGUGGCGAAGGCGGCUCACUGGACCGGUAUUGACGCUGAGGUGCGAAAGCGUGGGGAGCAAACAGG